UCUGCGUCUGAUUAGCUAGUUGGUGAGGUAACGGCCCACCAAGGCGACGAUGAGUAGCCGGCCUGAGAGGAUGAACGGCCACACUGGGACUGAGACACGGCCCAGACUCCUACGGGAGGCAGCAGUGGGGAAUCUUCCGCAAUGGACGAAAGUCUGACGGAGCAACGCCGCGUGAGUGAAGAAGGCUUUCGGAUCGUAAAACCCUGUUUUCAGGGACGAAUGUGUGAAUUGUAAAUAAUGAUUCAUAAUGACGGUACCUGACAAGAAA
rnacentral:rRNA from 1 species